rnacentral:rRNA from 1 species
CCUACGGGAGGCUGCAGUGGGGAAUAUUGGGCAAUGGGCGCAAGCCUGACCCAGCAACGCCGCGUGAAGGAAGAAUGCUUUCUGGUUGUAAACUUCUUUUCUCAUGGGCGAAGACCGUAACGGUCCCUCUGCAUUACACCACGCCUACCUACGUGCCAGCAGCCGCGGUAAUACGGAGGUGGCAGUCGUUCUCCGGAUUUAUUGGGUGUAAAGGGCGUGUAGGCGGGAGCGCAAGUCAGAUGUGAAAACUCAGGGCUCAACCCUGAGACUGCAUUUGAAACUGUGUUUCUUGAGUGCGGGAGAGGUAAGCGGAAUUCAGGGUGUAGCGGUGAAAUGCGUAGAUAUAAGGAGGAACACCAGUGGCGAAGGCGGACUGCUGGACAGUAACUGACGCUGAGGCGCGAAAGCGUGGGGAGCAAACAGGAUUAGAUACCCGUGUAGUC